GAUGAAGAACUCAGCGAAAUGCGAUAAGUAAUGUGAAUUGCAGAAUUCAGUGAAUCAUCGAAUCUUUGAACGCACAUUGCGCCCCUUGGUAUUCCGGGGGGCAUGCCUGUUCGAGCGUCAUUAUAACCCCUCAAGCUCAGCUUGGUGUUGGGGCCUGCCGACUGGCAGCCCUUAAAAUCAGUGGCGGCGCCAUCUGGCUCUAAGCGUAGUAAUUUCUCUCGCUAUAGAGUCCCGGUGGAUGCUUGCCAGCAACCCCCAACUUUCUAUGGUUGACCUCGGAUCAGGUAGGGAUACCCGCUGAACUUAAGCAUAUCAAUAAGCGGAGGA
rnacentral:misc_RNA from 1 species